rnacentral:rRNA from 1 species
CCGAGAAUAUUCGACAAUGGGCGAAAGCCUGAUCGAGCGACACCGCGUGAUGGAUGAAGUCCCUAGGGACGUAAACAUCUUUUAUGAGGGAGAAAGUUUAUUGAUAGUACCUCAAGAAUAAGGGGUUGCUAAACUCGUGCCAGCAGAAGCGGUAAUACGAGUGCCCCGAGCGUUAUCCGGAAUCAUUGGGCGUAAAGGGUGUGUAGGUGGCAGUGUUAGUCAAUUGUUAAAACCCGGGGCUUAACCCCGGAACCGCGAUCGAAACGGCACAGCUAGAGGAUGGCAGGGAUGUAUGGAACUCAUGGAGUAGGGGUGAAAUCCGUUGAUAUCAUGGGGAACACCAAAAGCGAAGGCAGUACAUUGGGCCACUCCUGACACUGAAACACGAAAGCGUGGGUAGCGAAUGGGAUUAGAUACCCCGGUAGUCC